rnacentral:rRNA from 1 species
AGAGUUUGAUCCUGGCUCAGGAUGAACGCUGGCGGCGUGCUUAACACAUGCAAGUCGAAUGUAGUUUACUACAUGGCGGACGGGUGAGUAACGCGUGAGCAAUCUGCCCAUAUCUGGGGGAUAACAGUUGGAAACGACUGAUAAUACCGCAUGAUAUCGUUUGAAGGCAUCUUCUUACGAUCAAAGAUUUAUCGGAUAUGGAUGAGCUCGCGUCUGAUUAGAUAGUUGGCGGGGUAACGGCCCACCAAGUCGACGAUGGGUAGCCGACCUGAGAGGGUGAUCGGCCACAUUGGAACUGAGAAACGGUCCAGACUCCUACGGGAGGCAGCAGUGGGGAAUAUUGGGCAAUGGAGGCAACUCCGACCCAGCAACGCCGCGUGAAUGAUGAAGGUCUUCGGAUUGUAAAGUUCUGUGACGGGGGACGAACACAAUGACGGUACCCCGAUAGCAAGCCACGGCUAACUACGUGCCAGCAGCCGCGGUAAUACGUAGGUGGCAAGCGUUAUCCGG